UUUUUUUUUUUUUUUUUUUGAAAAAUAUGGUAACACUAAGUCACUAACCUUAUUUCUAUAUCACCCCUAGUAACAAAUGACAUUUUUGUCCUUUCUUUUUCUUUUUUCUCUGUUUUGGUUUCAGUUUUCCCUUUUUACUUAAUGUCUUCUUCUCUCUCCUCUAAGGUGAGGCAAAACAAGCUGCGAAGGAAGAGGACGGAGCAGCUGGAGGACCCACGUCACAGUCAAUAGCACCAGCGAGAUGGACCAACAAAAGAGCGGCGUCAACUACAGAAAGCACGCCACUUUUAACAAUAGAAAGCUUGUGGGGGCCAUAUAUAGCAAUGGGCCUGGUGAUCGAGGUAGAGAUGCUCGCAUUUCGAGCAGAAAUCAACAACAUCUUAAGGGAAUUGUUAUAGGUUUUUAAAAAAGGUUUGUCAAUGGCGGACAUAACUAUGGGUGGAGCAGAGUUGUCCGCAUUUGAGAUUUUGUGAUGUGAGUGCCCCGUGCUUUUUAGUCGAUUAGAGGUUCUAAACAUAUCAGCAAACCGUUUGAGUGAUGCUUGUGGAAUUUACCUGUCCACCAUAUUGUAUAACUGCAAAGGACUUUAUAGUCUGAACUCUGAAUAUUGAACAAUGUUCGAUCAAGUCCAGAACAAUUCAGAUAGUUGCUGGUACUGCAUCAUCUAUCAUGCUCAAGGGAUUGACAACUCAAUAUAUAGUCCGCAACAGUUUUAAGCUGAAUUAAUGCAGAGAGAAGUAAAUUCUUGCCCACUUCUUCAUAGCAAGUAUAUGUCCUUAGGUUUUGAUGCUUGCUUGAUGCUACUGCUGCUGGUGUUGCCUGUUGCUGUUGGUCGGCUUAUGUGCUGCUGAUGUUCAGCUUCCGAGUUGCUGCUGUUCUGUUUCCGAGCUGCUGAUGUUUUGUUUUCGAGCUGCUAUUGUUUUGCACAUUGUAAUUUUUUAUUUAUUUGUUG